UAACCUGCCCAAGAGAUCGGGAUAACACCUGGAAACAGAUGCUAAUACCGGAUGACAACAGAUGAUGCCUAUCAACUGUUUAAAAGAUGGUUCUGCUAUCACUCUUGGAUGGACCUGCGGUGCAUUAGCUAGUUGGUAGGGUAACGGCCUACCAAGGCGAUGAUGCAUAGCCGAGUUGAGAGACUGAUCGGCCACAUUGGGACUGAGACACGGCCCAAACUCCUACGGGAGGCAGCAGUU
rnacentral:rRNA from 1 species